UCUGGACAAUCGCUUAAUUGCGGUGUCCGACCUAACUCGCCUAUACACGGUGUAAAUUCCUAAAAUCCCCAAUUCAACUCCAAUUCCAUCCAUUUCAAUUUCAAUUAUCCAAUUAUAUCCACAAUACCUCAAUGACUGUGAAUUUGGUCCAAUUUAUCAGUCCGAACUAUAAAUUACGCUUUUACCCCUAGUGGGUAAAAAUUUCAAUUUAUUGCACCG
rnacentral:lncRNA from 1 species